rnacentral:tRNA from 1 species
GGUGGCUUAGUGGUAGAGUGCUUGCCUAGCAUGCAGGAAGCCCUGAGUUCAAUUCCUCAGUACCA